CGGGGCGGGAAUAGUGCCGUGCCUGUUUUGUGUGUCAAUUCUGACUGGAGAUUUAAGAAAAAUACUUAAAAGAUUAGUUUUCGGGAGCGCCUGGUGGCGCGCCGUGCAGAUGAAGCCUGCACUCCUGGUUAGUCUGCGCAGCUUCUGUGACGAGUCCUGGCGAAACCGCUGAGGGGCAGCAGGUUUUUACAUUGAAAUGGACUUUCAUGUGUAAAGAAAUCUGGAGCUAUCUGAAAGCCGUAGAGGGGCCCCCCCUCCCGAGUGCUGUAGCUGUGCACAGAGCCACCUGGAGGCACUGUUCGCACAGGUUGUUUCAGGCCUGUGCUUGAAAAGAUUGAGAUUUCAUCAGACAGAAAAAAAACUGAGAAAAAAUUAUUUUUUUAAAAAAGCAGGAUUUUUUUAAAAAGCCUUUGCCUUCAUAGGGUACACCUUUGAUUCUCCAUGGAUCUGUAACAAUGUGAUGCUUUUGUGAAGUGCUUUUUUAUGAAAACCUUUGUAGGAAGAGCCAGCAGGAUAUUCUAGCAUAUCAGCUGACAUAAUUGAAAAGAACAAAAUUUCCUGCAUGGGGCAGAAAAAUACUGCUGCUUGACCUUAAGUAUGGUGGAGUAUCUUUAUUCUUGUUUUUUCUCUUGGGUAGAACUGACCUAUUUUUUGUUUGUUUGUUUGUUUGUUUGAUUGAUUGAUUGAUUGAUUGAUUGACUGACUAUAAAUAAAAAUGGAUCAUGGAACAUCCUUCCUGUGUUACAAUUGUCACUUGAUCUCUUUUUUCAAUUGCACAGAAACAAUAACAUGCAAAUGUUUGCAUAUGACUGCUACAAAAACCUCUUGAACCACCCAGCAACAAUUGGUAAAGCUUAGUUGGAUUGAUGUGUUUGCUGUUGCUUUGUUAAUUAUGAGAUAAAUCAUAUUUCUCCCCCUUCCAAACAUACAUUUCUCAAUCUGCUUUGAAAUUCAUACUCUCCACUCUGAUUGCAUCAAGUCCUAUUUGCCAAAUUUAUUUUUCUUUCAGAUACAACAUUACUAGACACAGAAGCUCUGAAGUGUAGUUCACCAAGGAAUAUAGAAAGUCCAUCUUCAGAUUCCUAGUGUUGGGAUGUAAUUGAUUGCUGUCUGUCUCAGCAGUUGUAUGUGAAGAAGUACACACCACUGACAAAAUUCAGUGUCAUGACUUCAUAAAAUUUAUGUCAAAUACCGUUUAUCUAAAUAAAGUGUAACAGAAGAAAAAGAUAACGAAGAACUUUGACAUUCAUGACAUUCAAUGUCAUGUGUAAGAUUUAUUCUCUAUAUUUUAGGAAAGUCAAAGACUUUAGAUUUUCACUUCUGGAAACUUCUGAGGUUCAGAUCACUUCACUUCUGCUCACACGUAAAAAAAAAACAUAAGAGAUAGGAAUGUCUUCAUAGAGAUCUGAUGGAGGUGAUUUCUGGAUAUAUGAUGAAUCAUUCAGAGGGAAGAAUGAAUGAACAGGGUCUGUUUGAGAGAGAAACAAGGAAUGUAUGUAAAUCUUCAAGUGUAUAACAGACUUCAGCAAAUGAAGAAAUUCUUCAUGUCCUUAUGUCUCUAAUGAGCUGUAAAGAAAUAUGGAGAAAACCAAUAAAAAAUUAUAAAGAAAGAAUAAAUUCCAUCAAGGAAUAUUCAAAUUAGGAAAAUUUUAAGACUGAAGUAACCAGACAUGAUCCUUGUGGCUCCCUUCCGACUCCAAAUAUUUUGUGUUUCUGUGAUUGUAGACAUUGGACUAACCUAGCAUCACCAUGGAAGCUACAUUAUUAGACGUGAUAAAUGGUCCUUAGGGUACCAAAUACAGGAGCUAGCCUUAUAAAGCACCUUUUACUUACUUUUUAAGUUUUUAGACAUGCUUUCCAGGGAAACAAAUUUCCUAGGACUGUGCUGUUGGCCUGUCUUAUUUCCUUAACAAGACAUGUAAUUAACCAUUAGAAACAUGGAAAUCUAACAGUUUCCUUAUGCCUAAGUUAUUACAGAGAAAGAAAUGUGAAAGAAAGCUUUGUAGCUUGGUUGGCUUUGCUGGUUGUUUUUUGCGGGGAGUUUGGGAGUUUUUUUGAGGCAGGGGCUGCUGGAUUUUUUUGGUGAAGGUUGGGCUUUUUUGAUAGGUUGGAGUUUUUUAGUGAUCAAUAAAGCACCCUGAAGUUGUUUCCAUACCACAGAAAAUUCCUUUAUAUGCUCAGUCUGUGAUAUGAAUAAAACAGGGAAUGUUUGUUUCACCCCACUCCUGGGCCAGCUCUCAUUUUUCAUGUCUUCAAAUGGCCUUUGAAUAUUUCUCAUCAUAAUGUGUUAAAAUUCAUCCUUUUCAAGCUGGGUAUCAAAAAUUCAAAAUCACAUCUUCAUAAAUACCAGGUUCUUUAGUAUUCUGUGUUGUGAAGUCAUUAAUUUCAAUACAAAUUUUUGCACAUAAUGACAGUUUCCAAAAAAUCAGCCCAGCUACAUAUAUAGUUAGUGUAUGAUGAUCAAGCAGCAUUCCAUGCCGUAAGAAAUCCCUAAAGAGGUAAUGAUUGUUCAAAACACUUCUGUACUGGUUGUAGCCUUUGUUUUAAGCCACGUAAUUAUAUGUAUGUCCUUAGUGCUACAUGCUUUUUGGUAAUGAUUGAGGAUCUGGCAUUCCUGUUUUACAGAUUUUGCAAUAUUCCACCCUCUGCAGAGGCAACAUUGAAAAGCAUUUAGGAAGAAAAGGAAUUUAUAAAGCAUGUAAACUAGGAAUACCACUGGCAUCAAGAAAAUCCCGUCUGUUCAUGACAAGAAAUACGCGUUUCUGCCCUUCCCAGCGCUGGAGACGUUCCGAGCCUGUACAUCCACUCGGAUGGGUGAAGUUUUUCUGCAUCACCCGUGGCUGGUUUUUUUCCUUGUGUUGGGGAGUGUUUUUUUCCUGUGUGUUUGCUAAAUAAACAAGUUUUUUCCACUUUUCCUCUGAGGAAAUCCUUCCCGAACCCGGUAGGGGGAGGAGUUUGGGGAGUUUGUUUCUUAGGAGGCUCCCUUUGGAGAUUCUUCCCCUAAUUUGUCCUAAACCAGGACACCUGUCUACCACUAACAGUCUCAAAAGAAUACCUGAAGUUUCUCAUUGAACUGUUGCAUAUGUAUUUCCUGAACUGCAGAAUACCAGCAUGGAUAGAAAUAAGAGAAUAAGCAUAUACAUAAAAAAAUAGACUAAAAUUUUCAACACUAACUGUGAGAAUGAGAGUUUCAUAAAGGUAGUGGCCUCAAUGUAGGAUGGGUGGAAAUUCAUUCUAGACAGAAAUUGAAUGGUACUUUGCAAAAAUAAAUGGUGGAAAUGUGUCCUUCACAAGGUCCAAAUAUAGUGGUAUCCUUCCUAUGAAAACCUUCUCAACAAAUCAAUGUACAAAUUCCAUGGGUUUUCUGAACUUAAAUGGAUCGAUCUAAUUUCUAACAGAGUUUUUCAUUUAUUAAAAUUAAGAUGGUAGAGUGAAUCAAUCAGCUUAAAAAAAAAAAAAAAAAAAGAGAGAAGCAUGUUGUACCACUCUUCUAAAUAGAAAUUGUGUCUUAGAAACCCGUAGAGGUUUUGCUGUUAUAAAGAUAACCAAGUAAUUAAAGUGAGAUUUACAGAAAUCAACUGCAUCUUUUAAAAAUUAGUUUUUUACUGAAGAUAGAAUAUUCUUUUUGAGGUCUUACAAUUCAAAGUGUGAAGAUAAUACAGUACUAUUCCAUUACAUUAUUUUUUAUUAAUUUGACCUUUUUUUAAGAUUGCACAGUAGUUUCUUAAGCAUCUUAGUCCACAGAAGACUACAAUUGUGUACAUGGUACUU